CUGCCUUUGAAAGGUCGCCCAAGCAAAUGCCUGGUUAAAUAGGUUGCGCUCUGCGUCUUCUAAACUUGCCGGCUUUUUCCCUCUCGCUUCAUUAGAACGUGUCAGUUUGAGAAAAUUCUGCCUUUGUCUCUGAGGGUAAAAAUGGUCGGCUUCGAAGCGCACUAAGCAUAUUCUGGCAGGCAUAGCACAGGACAGCUAUACAAAGAAUAGCUUUCUUUUUUCUGCAUCUGUGAGGAGACCACGUUGGAAAGCGUUAGGCCUAAAAGGAAAGAAUGACGUAGAGGGAGUCUUAGCAUCUUUUUUACAUUGCGAUGACCUUGUGAAAGUGUCCAAAUGGAGGUUGGGGAUGAUGAUGGAAAAGGCCCUUCUGGUUCCCACUAGAUAUACCUCCUAAGGACCUGCAACAUUCCUUGCCUCCCCGCUUUAAGUAUCAGCAACGGCAUCUUGAUGUUUGAUCCAACAUUCAGGAACUAUGUAUCCACCCAGUCACUGGAUACAAGAUGGGAGGCUCAAUGCAAGAAAACAGUAAUGGUCCAGAAAGAAUAAGUGAGCAAGAGCUUAAUGUGACAUGCCUCAAAUAAAGCCUCAUGCAAUGUUCCAAAGGAAUUGUAAGUAUUGAUAUAUCUGUUGCUUGAAACUGUGUGGCAAUAGCAACACUGCCUAUGUAUAAAUUGCCAUUUACAGCAGAUCUCCCUAAUCAUGUUUACACAUUUUAAAUGUAUUUGCAAACUGGCCACUUAAAAUAGGAACAAGGGAAAUUAAUUUGUCACAUUAUAAUCCCUCCAGAAUGUGGAUGAUGACCUCUUCCCCCUUCUCUUUCAGCUAUUAAAAUCUGAAAGUCGAGCCUUCCUGCAGUUUUUCACUUUGGAAAAGAUAUGCUAAUCCAGAUUCCAUGUGAGAAUAAUAAAAUGUGAUCUUGGACUUUAAAGAUACAUCAGUUUCAAAUGAACCACUAGCGCAGGGGUAGGCAACCUUGGCUCUUUUAUGACUCGUGGACUUCAACUCCCAGAAUUCCUGAGUCAGCCAUGCUGACUCAGGAAUUCUGGUAGUUGAAGUCCACGAGUCAUAAAAGAACCAAGGUUGCCUACCACUGCAGUAGCGGAACUAUUUUGAAAAAAAGGGCUAAAAAAUUUUAAGCCGUAACAUUCAUUUCUGUAAGAUAUUUGAAGAGUUCCUGCAAAUUUUCAACAUUCAGAAGAAAAGGUUAAGAGCAAGAAUUUAUCUGUAAAAUCACACUUCUUACCCCAAUAGACAGCAAUAAUUUCUUUUGCAUUGUUCUUGAAGUUUCUAAAAUAAUAUAUAGUUCAGAACAAUUUUUAAAGAUUAUCGUUGGUUAUACAAUUUCACGCAUUCUUAAUCUGCAUACAAAGGUAAUCUCUUCCAAUUAUUAAAUAUAAGUUUAUCCAUUAAAUGCAGAAUCAAAUCUAGCAAUAGCACUUAGACUUAUAUACUGCUUCACAGUGCUUUACAGCCCUCUCUAAGUGGUUUAGAGUCAGCAUGUUACCCCCAACAAUCUGGGUCCCCAUUUUAUCCACCUGAGAAGGAUGGAAGGCUGAGUCAACCUGGAGCCAGUGAGAAUAAAACUGUCAAACUGCAGGCAGCUGGCAGAAGUAGCCUGCAAUACUGCAUUCUGACCAUUGCGCCAUCACGGCUCUAUCUAAGAUCUAUCUAAAUCUAAGUCAUGUUUUCAAUACUAAUUGACUUAGGUUACUUGUAAACAUUUAAACUACAAUUCUGUUGACAUCACAAUCAACAAUAUAGUUUGUGUAAAUAACAAUGUUGAUUGUGAUGUCAACAGACUUGUAGUUCAAAUGUUUACAAGUAACCUAAGUCAAUGGCUCUGACUAGACUUGAUACUUUUGAUUACUGGAUACUUCCCAAGGAUCUAGGAUAUUGUUCAAUAGAAGUUACUGUUCCAAGUAAUGCUACUUUUUUUGUGUAAUUGAUGAGCUGAUUCUGUCCCUUCAUAUUAUAUUUGAUCACUUUCUCACAUCUUUUGUUAUAACACCAAGCACACCAACCACUAUUGCCUCUGCCACCACUACUCUUUUUUCCACAUUUGCUUGUCCACUUGAAGGUGUUUUAUAUUUAUGAGUUUUUCUAGUUUUUUUCUCACUGACCAUCUGCAGCUACUGCUUAUUAUCCAUACUUGUUUCUUUGUAACUGUACUCAUCCCUGGCUUAUUAUGGACUAAAUGAUGAUGAUUUUCCUCUUGAAGCUUACAUUAUGUUAUAUAUUCUACUUCAUAUAUAACAUAAUGAGUAGGAAUUCUAUUCAGAAUCUUAAGACCUUAGUCCAGAUUAUUGAUUUGUAAGAUGUGUAAGGCCCCUCAACUCAUAAAUAGUAAAAGCAUAGAGUAAAAAUCACCCAUGAAACAAAACAUAGACAAUAUAUAAAUACAAACAUAAAAUGGCUAUACAACAAAACAAUCAUAGGGGGACUCCCAUUCAACUGUCCUUGAAUGCAUGGUGGGAGAGCAAAAUCUUAAAAUGAUUUUCAUAAAGGUUAAUGAGUGGGGCCUGAUGUAUAUCGAGGAAGAGAUUGCUAUAAUAAUCUGAUCCAGAAUAAGAGAAAUUACAAGACCCUCUGUUGUAUAAUGAAUAUAGUCCUGGAGUGGGGAGACCCUGUAAAGCUCAAUGUCUGGACUUGGGCCAGUUGCCAUCUCUUAAUCUUAAUAUGCUUCAGAGCCUUAUUGUAAAAGUUAUAAAAAGUUAUUGAAGGCAGAAUAAAAGUUUGUACAUUUAGUACCUUGGUAGGAUAGUGCUAGGAAACGCAAUAAUUAAUUUUACUAGAAUAACAUUGUAUAUUAAACUUGCUUCCUUAAUCAACCCCUUAAAUCAUCAGAAGUAUACAACAAAACAGUGAAGGAUGAACAGAUUUAUCUCCAUUUACUUACUGGCAUUCCACGCUUAACAAGUUGACCUAGUAUGUGGGGUGCAAGCCACAGCAUCUCAUGAUGUUGUAAUUUUGUUUUGCUAUCAUUAUUAUAUUAUUAUAAUUUGUAAGUUAUUUUGAAUUUUCUGGAUUGAGCAGGAUAUAAAUAUUUAUUAAUGAAUAUAUUUUAUACAGACAUAAGUAAGACAACUGUACAAUUAAACCAUGUAAUUCCUAGUUACCUUUGAUGCAAACAGACAAAUUACAAUUUAGUUAUAUUUCUAAGUUAUAUUUCUUAGUUAUAAACUAAUAUUUAAUUUAUGCUAUCCUACAUCUGAUAAUUUCUAUCAUUGGUUACCAUGUGCUAUUUUGAUCACCUCAGGUUGCUAGCUGGGAACCUAAAUUCUGAUUGGUGUUGAAAUUAGGUGACUAUGAAUUCUAAUACUGAGUUAUGCAUAAAGCCAGCUAGGAGACUUUGGGCCAGUCAUUCUCUCUUAGCCCUAGGAAUAGGUCCAUGGCAAAUGAUUUUUCAAAAACAUUGCUAUGAAAACUGCAGACUUAUCCAUGUACAUGCCACGAGUCAAAGCACAAAAAGAAAGUGGUUAGUAAAGCACUGUAGUAGGUUUAGAAACAUUUCAUAAUUUAGGGGAUCGUACAUUCACAAGAAAUGAUUUCUAAUAUUGCCAUUUAUUUCUACUGAAGUAUAUUUUUUCUUGUUUUUGCAAAGUAUUUCACAUCUCCUAUCCACACUGAUCUUGUAUGAUGGAACCAAUAUAUUUAAAAUUCAAAACAAAUUUACUUUUAAAAUGGAAAGUGUACAAUUCUUUGCAAUGUUUAAGCAGUUUCUUCUCUUAAGAAGCUGAUCAGAUGAAUUUGAAAGAUGAAAAACUUAAGGAAGAUUUUCAUCAGCUUUAUCUCAACCACAGAAUCCAAACACUACUUAUAGAAGUAGACAGAAAAAAGACACAGAAAAAAUAUUUAUCAUGUCGCAGAUCAUCAUGGGUUUAUUUUAGAUUUACAGAUAAAAUCUUUUAGAUAAAUCCAUGCAAGCAUUACUGCGUUUCUUGACAAGUUGUAUAACUGAAAACCUUCACAAAACAGUAUUUUUGUAGCUCAGGGAUUCAUUCAGGCAUGUAAUGACUGGUUAUAUGAUGGGAAUCCAAUCCAGAGAGCAAAGUUCAGAUCUUCCAUUUCUUCUGAGUUAGGCAGCUGCUAAACAAUUUAACACAAACAGUUACUGUACCACAACGUAGUAAAAUAAAAUGUGAUUUUUAAAUCAUGCAAGUGACCUCAAUAUGCAGAGUCCAAUUGAUGGGCCAUAGCCUUACCAAAGAUUUUCUUUCUCCAAAAGUGAGUCGAUAGAUAUUUCUCCUUUGCUCAGUGAGAUGGCAUCCACACAGGAUUUUAUACAAUAUGGCAUCAGUCUUGAUUACAGGUGUAGUUCAACAAGAUAAUAACAAGUAAAAAAUUGCAGAACAAUCUUCUGCAUGAUGAAAAAUGCAGAACACUUUUCAUGCAUUUUACAUUUUGUGCAAUGAAACAUGCAAAUUGUUUCAAAGAAACUUUCUGCUUAAAUGGUUCAGCAAGAGCCUUCUUUUUUUCUCAAGUCCUGAACACAUGUCCUUGCACUUGUCAGUGUUGCACUUGGAAUGUUAUUUACAAAAGCUGUAUAAAUCAGAAACCAUAAAAAGUCAAAGAAAAAUGUAAAAAGUACAGUCACAGUUUAACAGAAAUAAUAAUUAAAAAAAAAA